AUUGAACGCUGGCGGCAUGCUUUACACAUGCAAGUCGAACGGUAACAGGCCGCAAGGUGCUGACGAGUGGCGAACGGGUGAGUAAUGCAUCGGAACGUGCCCAGUCGUGGGGGAUAACGCAGCGAAAGCUGCGCUAAUACCGCAUACGAUCUAUGGAUGAAAGCGGGGGACCGUAAGGCCUCGCGCGAUUGGAGCGGCCGAUGUCAGAUUAGGUAGUUGGUGAGGUAAAGGCUCACCAAGCCAACGAUCUGUAGCUGGUCUGAGAGGACGACCAGCCACACUGGGACUGAGACACGGCCCAGACUCCUACGGGAGGCAGCAGUGGGGAAUUUUGGACAAUGGGCGCAAGCCUGAUCCAGCAAUGCCGCGUGCAGGAAGAAGGCCUUCGGGUUGUAAACUGCUUUUGUACGGAACGAAACGGCUCUCACUAAUACUGGGGGCUAAUGACGGUACCGUAAGAAUAAGCACCGGCUAAGUACGUGCCAGCAGCCGCAGUAAUAC
rnacentral:rRNA from 1 species